CGGUAGUAACUGUUUGAAUUGUGUUGGAAGAGGAUGUGUAGGCCAGUGUGGUAGACUAGCGGGUGGUAAAUUGUUUCAGCUGCUACAGCUCUCCAGCCCAAGUUGUUGACUGGCUAGUCUUUGACUGCCUCCCAACAUGUUAGUGAGGUCCUGAGCUGAUGUACCCUAUGGCGAAGAGUUAGGCACUAGUUUCCUGAAGUAAUGUAUAGCAUGAGAUGGCACCCAUUCUAAACAGCAGCCGGCACCAACUCUGCCCGACGGUGGAGUGGACAAUACCCAGAUCCUGUGGGGAGGAAAAGUCUACACUAAACUGUAAAAGGGUGUUGGGUUUUCUCACUGAAGCUACCACUCGUGCAAUUUUGAUUGGUGAUUGUGACUUAGUCCUCCUCGUGAUCUACGGCAAGGUGGAGACGCAUUAUCUGAAAUGGCUGUUGCAAUGUAUUGAAAUUAAAUUUUAUUAAAAACUCUGGAAAGUACAGCGGCCUGCUGGACCACCCGGACAGCGAGGCGCGAGAGUUGGAAGUGUUUCCACCAUUACGUCAUACUCCUCUGCUGCAGAUUUGGAAGAUCUGCAAUAUUGUGGGUUGUAGGUCCUUCCAACAACUUCAGGAAUGGUUGCAGAACAAUUGCUGGAAGUGUUAAAUGCUACAGAAAGUAGCAUAGUCCUCAGAAUUAGAGGGCAAAAGUGGUAUGGAAGAUUACAAUGUCAUCAAAGCAUUGACUGGCUUCAGUGUGGUUGUUCUACUCUGCAAAUCUACGAAAGUUGGUGGAUGUUGUCCUUGGUACUCUGGAGUUUUCCCUGGCCUUUUGAUCUUCUUUGAGUCUUUAGUGGAUUGCAUCUAGGAGGAGCAGCUUCCCACAACCUGAAAUAGACAAUAGUCAAUAUUAAUGUUACACUGUAAACUAUUAAAUAAAUAUUCCAAUGAAACUUUAUACUGUACUUUAUCCUGAAAUUAGCAAAGAUUCUAUCAUGCUGGAAAUUACUGAUUAUUCCUGAUGCAAAGUCUAACAUCUAAAGAACUUCUGAAAUUUAUAACUAACUUACUAAAGUGAAAUUAAUUGACAUCACUAACUUCAGAGUUUUCUGCAUGUAAUAUGCCAAACUGGAUUAAGC